GCGCCUGUAGCUCAGGGGACAGAGCAACGGCCUUCUAAGCCGUGGGUCGGAGGUUCGAAUCCUCCCAGGCGCA
rnacentral:tRNA from 1 species